UUACGGCUAUAACAGGUAGACACACCGGUUCCCGGACGAUUCUCCGAAGUUAAGCAACAUCGAGCCUGGUCAGUACCUAGAGAGGUAACCGCUUGGGAAUUGCAGACGCUGAAA